GGAGGUAAUACGGAGGGUGCGAGCGUUAAUCGGAAUUACUGGUCGAUAAGCGCGCGUAGGCGGUUUGUUAAGUCAGCUGUGAAAGCCCCGGGCUCAACCUGGGAACUGCAGUUGAUACUGGCCGACUAGAGUACGAGAGAGGGAGGUAGAAUUCCAUGUGUAGCGGUGAAAUGCGUAGAUAUAUGGAGGAAUACCGGUGGCGAAGGCGGCCUCCUGGCUCGAUACUGACGCUGAGGUGCGAAAGCGUGGG
rnacentral:rRNA from 1 species